rnacentral:rRNA from 1 species
GUGGGGAAUUUUGGACAAUGGGCGCAAGCCUGAUCCAGCAAUGCCGCGUGCAGGAAGAAGGCCUUCGGGUUGUAAACUGCUUUUGUACGGAACGAAACGGUCCGGGUUAAUACCCUGGGCUAAUGACGGUACCGUAAGAAUAAGCACCGGCUAACUACGUGCCAGCAGCCGCGGUAAUACGUAGGGUGCAAGCGUUAAUCGGAAUUACUGGGCGUAAAGCGUGCGCAGGCGGUUUUGUAAGACAGGCGUGAAAUCCCCGGGCUCAACCUGGGAAUUGCGCUUGUGACUGCAAGGCUGGAGUGCGGUAGAGGGGGAUGGAAUUCCGCGUGUAGCAGUGAAAUGCGUAGAUAUGCGGAGGAACACCGAUGGCGAAGGCAAUCCCCUGGGCCUGCACUGACGCUCAUGCACGAAAGCGUGGGGAGCAAACAGGAUUAGAUACCCGUGUAGUCC